AGAGUUUGAUCAUGGCUCAGGACGAACGCUGGCGGCGUGCUUAACACAUGCAAAGUCGAGCGGUAAGGCCCCUUCGGGGGUACACGAGCGGCGAACGGGUGAGUAACACGUGAGCAAUCUGCCCUUCACACGGGGAUAACUCCGGGAAACCGGUGCUAAUACCCGAUACGACCACUUCAGGCAUCUGAUGGUGGUGGAAAGUUCCGGCGGUGGAGGAUGAGCUCGCGGCCUAUCAGCUUGUUGGUGGGGUAAUGGCCUACCAAGGCAACGACGGGUAGCCGGCCUGAGAGGGUGACCGGCCACACUGGGACUGAGACACGGCCCAGACUCCUACGGGAGGCAGCAGUGGGGAAUAUUGGACAAUGGGCGAAAGCCUGAUCCAGCAACGCCGCGUGAGGGAUGACGGCCUUCGGGUUGUAAACCUCUUUCAGCAGGGACGAAGCGCAAGUGACGGUACCUGCAGAAGAAGCACCGGCCAACUACGUGCCAGCAGCCGCGGUAAUACGUAGGGUGCGAGCGUUGUCCGGAAUUAUUGGGCGUAAAGGGCUCGUAGGCGGUUUGUCGCGUCGGGAGUGAAAACUCAGGGCUUAACCCUGAGCCUGCUUCCGAUACGGGCAGACUAGAGGUAUGCAGGGGAGAACGGAAUUCCUGGUGUAGCGGUGAAAUGCGCAGAUAUCAGGAGGAACACCGGUGGCGAAGGCGGUUCUCUGGGCAUUACCUGACGCUGAGGAGCGAAAGUGUGGGGGAGCGAACAGGAUUAGAUACCCUGGUAGUCCACACCGUAAACGUUGGGCGCUAGGUGUGGGACUCAUUCCACGAGUUCCGUGCCGCAGCUAACGCAUUAAGCGCCCCGCCUGGGGGAGUACGGCCGCAAGGCUAAAACUCAAAGGAAAUUUGACGG
rnacentral:rRNA from 1 species